AUGGCGCUGGAUUGGGCGUCCUCUCCGGGGCCAAGAUUGGUGCUGGACACACCUUUGCAGCCUGUUGCUGAGAAGUCCCUGGACUCGGCAUCCUUUCCAGGAUCAAGUUUUGUGGUGGCUACUCCAGAGCAGCCUGCUGCUGAUCUGCACCAACUAGUCCUGGAAGCUGCUACACCUGAUAUGCCUGAAGAUGGGGUCGCUGAACAUGCUACCACCCCCAUCUUUGUCCCCUACAGGCCAGCACUUCUCCCCUCACCACCAACCUGGACACCACCACGGCCACCUGCUCGGCGGCGCAAGACCUUGGCGGGCGUUAUGAGCUUCAACCUGGGUCGUCGCAGCCCGAGGAUCCGAGCCAAGAACCAGAGGCUGCCCAUUGCGACCCUUGCAGAGCGGCUCCUCUGCCAGCGUAUGGGCAUUGUGGACGAGGGCGAGCAACUAACCGAGGCGGCCAUCAGCAAGUUUGUGCAGCUGUUCAAUGGUCGUCUCCCUGACAUCACCAUUGCGGCAUUACGAGCUCUGUUCAACCUGGACUGCGACCUGAUGUCAGCUGUGGAGAACGCCUUGAUCGAGCAUGGUGGAGAGGGAGGCCCAGACCUGGGCUCUCAGGAGGAUGCAGAAGCAGCUACUGCAACCUGA
rnacentral:rRNA from 1 species